GUGUGGAGCUAGACCGGGCUGCUAGGCGUAGCCUGUAACCUGAAAUCGUCUACAUGCAGGGGUCGAAAAUCCCGGAAGGUAACUGAAGUAGCAGAAGCCUCUCUAAUUUAACUAUGAGGUCCAGCCCCAAGAGGUGGUUUUCAUUAUGAAUCCCCCAGGUUCGGAAGAAAGCAAGGGUAAGUAAUGAAAACCAUGCUUUUGGGUAAACUGGGCGGAGGAGAGUUAGAGAGUAAACUUCUGUUGCUUUUGUUAUCGACCGGGAACUGCUCCACAC
rnacentral:SRP_RNA from 1 species